rnacentral:rRNA from 1 species
UACGUAGGGUGCGAGCGUUGUCCGGAAUUAUUGGGCGUAAAGAGCUCGUAGGCGGUUUGUCGCGUCUAUCGUGAAAACUGGAGGCUUAACUUUCAGCGUGCGGUGGAUACGGGCAGACUUGAGUUCGGUAGGGGAGACUGGAAUUCCUGGUGUAGCGGUGAAAUGCGCAGAUAUCAGGAGGAACACCGGUGGCGAAGGCGGCAUUCUGGACCGAUAUUGACGCUGAGGAGCGAAAGCCAGGGGAGCAAACGGG